rnacentral:misc_RNA from 1 species
AACGCAUCUUGCGCUCCUUGGUAUUCCGAGGAGCAUGCCUGUUUGAGUGUCAUUUGACUUCUCUCAACCACAUCAUUUAAUUUUGAUGUGGCUUGGAUGUGGGGGGAUUGCAGGCUUCUUUAAGUCUGCUCCUCUGAAAUGCAUUAGUGGUAUCUGAGCUGCUAUUGGUGUGAUAAAUUAUCUAUGCCUAUGGUACUGCUGGUCAGCACUGCUCAUAACAAUGUUAUUUGACAAAUUUGACCUCAAAUCAGGUAGGACUACCCGCUGAACUUAA